CGUUACCUUUUCGUAUGUUAACUACGAAAUUUGGCCGGCAGCUGUUCGAACGUAUCAUUCAGCUCUACGAAGGCUUUUCUAGUGUACAGUAUUGGUUUCUUCAUGGCAUGGUCGUGAAAAUUAGAUUGCGACUGCGUAAUGUGUGAGGGCUAUUUCGGGAUAAAAGCAGAGCCAUCGAAUCUACUGCACAGCCCCAUAUAUCUUGCUGGCCGGUGACGCUAGUCCUGCCGAAGAAAGACAUGCAAAGAAGACCUCCUCCGUUAUUUGUGAAGCGCCAUCGCACCAAUCUUACUUUUAAAGAAUCUCGUCGGCCCAGAAUUUUGGGUGCGCCGGUGCACAAUGACCUGGGCGCCCGACCGAGUAGGAGCGAUCGUGAAAACAUCCGGGCGUAUUUGGAGCUCAUCAGCCCAGCAGGACAGGAGCCCGAUGAGAAAGUCAGCUCCAGCAUACCACUAAAGCUUGCAUCCACCUCGUCAAGAGAAAUUGGCAUAGCUGUGCCAUGAACGGAAAAAGGAGAAUGCCUACAAGUGGUGCCCAGGCAAUAAAGGUUUCACAUAUUCUCGCUCAAUUCUUCAUUAGUCUUCAUUUCUCACUACAUGUCUUAAUUUCUAUUGCAUUGUACGAGUGUGUCAAGACAUGCAUG